rnacentral:lncRNA from 1 species
CAGGUUUCUGUAGUGAGACCCUGAUAAACCUAACAAUGGUUGGUACGGCAGACAUUUCUGUUAUGCACGCAAGUGAUGAUGUGUUCUUUAACCACAUCAUAGACCAUCAGAUCUUCAUAUAUCUUUUUUUUUUUUUUUUUGACAUAGUCUUGCUUUGUCGCCCAGGCUGGAAUGCAGUGGGGUGAUCUCGGCUCACUGCAACCUCCACCUCCCAUGUUCGAGCGAUUCUCGUGCCUCUGCGUCCUGAAUAGCUGGGAUUACAGGUGUGCACCACCACGUCCUGCUAAUUUUGUAUUUUAGAGUUGGGGUUUUGCACGUUUGCCAAGCUGGUCUCGAACUCCUGGCCUCAAGCAAUCCACCCACCUUGAUCUCCCGAAGUACUGGAAUUACAGGUGUGCACCACCGCGCCCGGCCAGAUCUUCAUAUAUCUAAGUAAGUGGUAUACAUUUACCUAAACUUUUUUAGCGUGUGAUUUUUUCCGUAGGUACUCAGGUAAGAAAUGAUAGUCUUUACCAACUAUAGCAACCAUGUUAUUCUGCUGUUUUAUAUUUUACAGAAAAUGUAUGUUUAGCUUUGUGAUUGUUGAGCUAUUUGCUAUCCAAGGAAUUAACGGUGGAGUUGCAUGUCAUAGUAGCAAUUGUGGGUUUGUUUGCAGGAUCCUGUCAAGAAGUCAUGGUAAACCUCAUCAUGAUCAAGAACGAGACUUUGCUUGCAUCCAGGCUUCCCAAAAGUUGUUUGGUAGUAUACAGGCAUGAGGUGGUGUGACUCCAACUCAUUAGAUGCCUUCGUCUUUUCAGUUAUGUAAGUAAUGAAUGGUGUUUUCAAGACCGUUAUAUAAACCUUGUUUAUGGCGUGUAUGCAGUUUA